rnacentral:snoRNA from 1 species
UCAUAUGAUGACCAACAACCGCAUUUUUUUUUCCUAAUUCUGGUACCUCUUAUGCCAGGGGACUCUGUCUCCAAUGAUCUAAAUGGACUUCUGAUU